AUUGAACGCUGGCGGCAGGCCUAACACAUGCAAGUCGAGCGGAUGAAGGGAGCUUGCUCCUGGAUUCAGCGGCGGACGGGUGAGUAAUGCCUAGGAAUCUGCCUGGUAGUGGGGGAUAACGUCCGGAAACGGGCGCUAAUACCGCAUACGUCCUGAGGGAGAAAGUGGGGGAUCUUCGGACCUCACGCUAUCAGAUGAGCCUAGGUCGGAUUAGCUAGUUGGUGGGGUAAAGGCCUACCAAGGCGACGAUCCGUAACUGGUCUGAGAGGAUGAUCAGUCACACUGGAACUGAGACACGGUUCAGGCUCCUACGGGAGGCAGCAGUGGGGAAUAUUGGACAAUGGGCGAAAGCCUGAUCCAGCCAUGCCGCGUGUGUGAAGAAGGUCUUCGGAUUGUAAAGCACUUUAAGUUGGGAGGAAGGGCAGUAAGUUAAUACCUUGCUGUUUUGACGUUACCAACAGAAUAAGCACCGGCUAACUUCGUG
rnacentral:rRNA from 1 species